GAAGGUGGCAGUCUGGGCUCCUGGUGAUUGUAUCUGGUGCUGGAGAAGAUUGGCUCCCACAGUCAGUGAGAAAGGAAUUUUACUCACCCAGCACCCAUAUGAACUUCAGUGAGAAGAGAAGGUGGAGAGGUCAAGGAGCCUUGCUUUUUCACUUGCAAUUAUGGCACUUCCUUUGGAAAUGGUAAGACUAUAUUUUUAGACUUACACUGUUAACUUAAAAUCCUAACAGGUCAGGAAGAUGGCUUUAUGCACAUUAAGGCAUGCAAAAGAUUUAUUUUUCCUAUCAUUUUUCUUCCUCAAAUAGUCAUUGUAGGAAUUCUUGCUUUUUAUUAACACCUCUUAAGAAUAUUAACAGACCAGAAAACAUUUGUCAAUUGGGUGUUACACUAUGUUGGCACUGAAGUAGAUAUUUUAAAGUUUAAAAAUAUGUAACAGUGGCUUUUUAUUCAUUCAUCCGAGCAAUAUUUACUUGAAUGCAUAUCAUACAUCAGGGUUCUGCUAGGUACUGGAGAUUUUAAAAAAAUAAUAAAGCAAACCAAAAAAACUAAGUGAGAUCGGGUCUCCUUUCUUAAGUUGUCCUCAGUCUAAAACCUUAUUGUUUAGGUCAGUGGUUCUCAAUCCAGGGUGAUUUUGGCCCCCAGAGGACAUUUGACAGUUUCCUGGAGAAAUAUUCAAAUACUGCUACUGGGAGGGAUGGGGGAUGCUAUGGAAUCUAAUGAGUAGAAGCCAGCGAUGCUGCUAAGCAUCCUAUAAAAUACCAUUCAGCCCCCAACAAUUGGAUUAUGAGAUCCAAAUGUCAAUAGUGUCCAAGUUGAGAAAUCUGCAAACCCACUGGGCUCUUCCUUAAACAGAGAGCACUUUCACCAUGUGUGAAUUAAACAAAGCAAGCUUUAAAGCCACCUUCUGCCCUGCUUCUACCAGGUGGGUUUGGAAUAUUGAAGGGUCCCUACUAGCUGAGGGGAGAAUAAAUGUUAUCGUCAUUUAGAACAUUUAGUCUUGUUAUACUCCCCAGUCUCUCAGGUGGGGCAUGGUGGUGGCCCUGUUCAGCAGAAGGUCAGCUAUUCUGUCAUGAGCCCAGGCCAGAGACAUGUCCUGUUAAAUAAGUCUGCCCCAGAGAGAGGACAUGAGACUUCUCCUCUUUGUUGGGAGCAGCCAAGCUUCUAUAUUCAAGGCCGGUUAAGUGCAAGUCCUUUCAAACCGUAUUACUGAAAGAUAAUGACAGUCUUACAAUUUAAACGUAAUAUUUGCACCUAAAUUGAAACUACCAUCAAAAUUUUGCAUUGUUUUGCUUCUGUGUAAGUACUAACUGCAAAGUCUAAAGGAAAGAAGUAACCUUACAAUCAUGCUGUUCAGUGUAGCUACUAGCCACAUGCUGCUGUUUAAAUUAGUUGACAUUAAAUAAAAUUUAAAAUUUUAUUCUUCAGUGGCACUAGUCAAUUGUAAGCAUCCACUAGCCAUGUGACUACUGGCUACUGAAUUGGACGGUGUGGGUACAGGACAUUUCCAUCAUCACAGGAAGUUCUGUUAGACAACAUUGUCCUAGAAGUCUCCAUUUCAAAGGCUUCUUAUCAAUAUGCACAGUUAUUUCUAAAAAAAAAAAAGGCUUGUUUCCUAGCAGCUGAGACACUGGGGCAAUGCUUUGCAUUCUCUCAUUAUGAUUGUCUGUUAGAAAGGCACAGACAUGUUCUGCUGGGGGGACCAUCUUUCUUCUGACAUGGAAUUUUUCUGAAGGGUUUAUGUAAUGGAUGUGGGAUAAGGUGUCAGAUGAUUGAAACUAUGAUUUUUCCAGAAGAUAUAACAAUGUAAAAUUCAAAUAGGUGACUCCUGUAAGACAUUUCUGAUCUAACUCAAGUAUGUAUUGUUAAAUAUUAAUUCCAUUAAAGUAUGUCAGCAGGGAAUUAAGAUAUGUGACCCAAAUCUAUUUCUUUUUAGUAGCUAGGUAUAAUAGAGAAGUAGCACUCAGUGGAUCUCAACUGAAGAAGAGGUGGGGUAAAGGGAGGAGGGGAGGUUCAGAAUAUUUGGAAAAGAUUCUCCAUGUUAUUCUAAUGUACCUAAUCCAGGUAAGUAUAGUUUAGAGAUAUGGAAAGGACAAUUGAUUUACCUUUUACUGCUGUAUGAUUGGGGGAGGGGGAAAAGUUGUGACUUUUAAAAUCCCUCCCUUUAGUGGGGCCUAGACAUCCCCUCCAUUCUCUCUUGCUGUCUUUCCUUUCAGUGACCCACCUGUCUACCCUUCUUACCUGGUUAUUUAGGAUAAUCAACUGGCUUUAGAACAAUGGCCUUAGGCAGUUUUUUCCGGUAUCAAGAGCCUCCAGCAAACUUUUGCAAGCUGUAUAUCACAAUCUUUUCUCGGCUGCAUUUUUUAUUCAGUGCUUACUGGUCAAAGCAAGUGUCUUAUGCACAGAGGAUGCAUUAGCCAGAGAGGACACUCAGAAGAAAUUCAAGAAUCCAUUUAGUUUUGUUGUUCAGGGUGAAAGGCACCCCACUUCCACAGAGAGGUGGUCUAUGGGUGUGUGAGCAGGGCUAAAACUGUUCUAAAGGAACUGUUCAAGCCAUUGACUAACUAUUCAGGUAGAGGACCCAGAGUUUGGUCAUAGAGCUUUACCCACUUUUGUUAAUGUUAGAAGGCCAUUACUAGCCAUACAGAAACCUAUCAGUACAUCAGAAUGAGACCUUGUUCAGCUGAUAGGUACAAAACGUCAACACUCUUCCCUCUUACCCCUAUUUAAGUCUUGAAAUUUCACAUCAAAUUUUCAAGAUGUGUUAAUCCUGAAUGGGUUGAUGUUUUUUACUUUCAUUUUCUCAAGUUGAUUUAGAAUAGCUUUACUACAUUCUUUGUUUUCAUUUCUGGUUUCAUAUUUUCUCCUGGUAGAAAUUUACUUUUCCCCCAUAAUAUAUAAAAUGUUGAUCACUUUAGCUGGGCAUGGUGGCGCGUGCCUGUAAUCCCAGCUACUCAGGAGGCUGAGGCAGGAGAAUUGCCUGAACCCAGGAGGCGGAGGUUGCAGUGAGCCAAGAUCACGCCAUUGCACUCCAGCCUGGGUAACAAGAGCGAAACUCUGUCUCAAAAAAAAAAAAAAGUUGAUCACUUAGAGUUUUUAAAAAAAUAAGGUGGAAGUCACAUCAUUGCAUAACCAUCCAGAAUAUACAUUCUUUUUGGUGGCAUGAUGUCCAACAUAUGACAUUAGGGAAAAAAAUCCCACCACCCCCAGAAAAUGUCCAACCUUAGCUUCCUCCUCCUUUUAAGGACAUAAGAGCCUGGUGGUUGAUGAUGCAAGAGAUAAAACCGUGAAGAGACUGAAGAAACUAGUUCAUCAAUUGUUGAGAUUCCAUUUCUAAAACAUCUUAGUGUAUAUUUUUUCUUUGAGUCUGCCUAUGCCUAUGCCUGGGAUGUCAAGAGCUAUGAAUUGCCUUAAGGUUCAGGGAGCCAUUAAGGUUUGUCUUCUCAAGGUAUUCAGCUAGAGAGGGAUGUGGAUCUUAAAACCAUGUAGAAUUUGGGCUUAACAGAUUCAUGAAUACCUUGAAAAGAAGGCAGGAAAGCAUGAAGAAAGAACACUAGAAUGUCCUACUGAAAACUGCAUCAUCCAUCAGUAAAUAUCGAGUGUCUGUCAUGGGCCAGGCCCAGUGCAAUAUAAUGUGUUGGUGUAACAUGAGAAAAAAUAUAUAUUUGGUCUUUGUCCCAGUUUCUGGCACAGAGCUCCUAAAACUUUUGGAAAUUCCUGAGUGAUAAAGUAUCUUUUGCAUGCUAAUGAGGUGACUAAAGAGGGCAGUGCUAAGUUAGCUUCAGGAUAAGGGUUGGUCACCAGAGGAGCCAACCACCUGAUUAGAGGAUUAGAAUUGUCAUCUCUGCACUGCCUUCUUCCCCACUCCAGACAGGGGAGAGGGGCUGGAGAUUGGGUUCAAUCACCAAUGGGCAAUGACUUAGUAAAUUGUGUCUAUGUGGUAAUGAUGGUUCCAUAAAAACUCUGAAGCAAUAAGGCUCAGGGAGCCUCCUGGUUGUUGAGUACAUUGACAUAAUGGCAGGGUGCUUACCCAGAAAGGGCAUGGAAGAGCUGUGUCCCCUCCCUGCCCUAUUACCUUGCCCUAUGCAUCACUUCCAUUUGGAUGUUUCUGAAUUAUAUCCUUUAUAAUAAAAGUAUAAUUGAAAGUAGAGAGCUUUCCUGAAUUCUGUCAGUCAUUCUAGCAAACUAUUGAACCUGGGGAGAGGUUGUGGAAACCCCCAAAUUUGUGGUAGACUGGGAAGAAGUGCAGGUAGCCUAGAGACAUCAUGUACAGCUGGCAUCUAAAGUGAGGGCUUCUUAUGGAACUGAACCCUUACUGUGUGGGGUCUAGGCUAACUCUGAGUAGCUAGUGUCUCAAUCAAGUUGAAUUGUUGCCAACCAGUUGGCUUCAGAGUGAGGCAGGAAAAUGGGGUCUGGUAGCAGGGAACAUAAGGCCAAUUCACACUUCAGCUGUGCCAGGAAAUACCCUCUCCAUAGGGUGUAUGCUGAGUAAAUGACUUUGUCACUUUACUUCAUCUCUCCAUUUAUGUAGGGCUUAUACCAAGUAACCAAUGGAAUCUUCUGGAGGGUAUUUAAACUCCCCAAAAUUCUGCAACAGGGCCUUUGAGCUCCUAUGCUCAGGCCAGCUCCCACACUAUGGAGUGUACUUUCAUUUUUAAUAAAUUACUUCAUUCCUUCCUUGCUUUAUGCAUUUUGACCAAUGCUUUGUUCAAGAUGCCUAGAACCUGGACACCCUCCACUGGAGGAUGAAUCAGAUAAUUUGUUGGUACUGGAAUGACAUAGCUGGGAUUAAAAUGGUGAACAGGAGUAGACAUUUUUCUACUCUCAAAAUUUAUAAAUAGUAUGCCAAUGAGUUUGUUGGAGUUAUUUAGCACUCUGCUGUAUAUUGUCCUAUCACCCCCUCCAAAUCUACUCCCCCUGGUCUUUAGAGGCUGACCCUCAUAGAACACAGUAAUGGACAUUCUUCUUUCUGUCUGUAGUUGGGUUUGAUCAAUGGGGUGUCCUGGGAGGAAAUUGAAGGGACCCAGGUAAGUGAACUCAGGGUAUUGAUUCACCUCACUCACUCCUUGGAAGCCCACCUUGGGCGGUAUCUCCUUUCUAGGCAGUCCUCUCAACAAGGCUUUCUCCUUCCCAGUCUGGAAACUCCUCCUUGUCUCCUUGUGCAUAAGGGUGGUGUAAGCACUUCAGCUUCUAAUCUUUAGUUUUUGCCUGCAAACCCUUGUGGUUCUAUUACAUCCUGUAUACACCCUUGUAAAAAGUUUCUUAUUAAAUAAACCUUCUUUGAAUUAUCCUAAGAUGAGUGUUCUGUCUCACUGAGAUCCUGACUGAUACAAGCAUUAUCUAUUUAAAUGUUGGAUGUAUGCUUGCAAAGUAUGUUGAGUUUUGUUUUAGUAUAUUUGACGCGGAGCCAGCUGUUCAGCUACUUAAGAAGGUGACCCUGGUUUGUAAUGAUAAAAUUGUAUUAUGGAGUAGGAUGUUUAUCAUCCUAUUUCCUUUGGCAGGAAAGUAUAUAUUCAUUGAGGUACAGAGAAGGGGAGCUAGAACAUUAGUUCUGUUUUAUAGCAUUUAGAAUUACAAUUUUUGUUGCCAAAAUGUUCUUCUUAUCCAUUAUGAUUCUGACAUUAAUACAAUAUUCCAGGCUUUGAAGAUGCAUUAAUAGUUUGGGAUUUUACCAAGAUGAUACAUGCUGAUGAGAGGUUGAUAAAUGUUGCAAAAAGUCCUUCUUAUUAACUGUUUUAUAGGCGAGAUGGUACAGGAUAGUAACGCUCAAAAAUUUAAUGGUUUUGCCUAAAAUAUGUUACCUUUCAUGAAAAACAUUUGAGUGAGAGAGAGCCCAGAAACGAGUUGUGAAGAGAGCACAAAAUAUGUGCUUUUAUUGUUUGUUUGACAGAGGUGGAGAACCACAUCAUGAAAUUUACAUUUGUUAUUGAUCUUUUUGCCUGAACCCACCCUAGUACCUCCAUUAGCAUCUGUUAGAAGUCAGUUUUUCCAGAUGAUAAAUUUCUUUUACAAAGAAAUGAACUGUGAGUUUGUAGCCUUUCACAGGAGACUAUGAGCCUCUUUCCUUCUUAUUUUGCUUACUAAAGUCAUUACUGAAAUAUAAAUUUGGGUGGCUAGAUGGGAUAAUCAAAGCUGGUUUCAACCCGUCUAUAAUCCACUGAUCUGUAGAUUAGACAGAAAGCUUCUCAGAAGAUGGUACCCGUGUACCUCUCGAGAAUUGGAGAGAGGCUGCCUGCAUAAUUGAUCACUAACCUUUAUAGAUAAAAGCAAUUUCAAAGACCAUCUACCUGCUAAUGCUAUAGAUGAGGAGACUGAGACCCUGAGAUACAAAAAGACUUACCCAGGAACGCAGCUGUAUUAGUUUGUCAGGGUUGCCAUAAUAAAGUAUCACCAACUGGGUGACUUAAGCCAGAGGACUUUACUGUUUCACAGUUCUGGAGAUGGAGAAUCCACAAGUCAGGGGGUUGGCACAGGGGUUCCUUCUGAGGGCUGUGAGGAAAGGACAUGUUCCAGGGCUCUCUCUUUGGCUUGUAGAUGGCCAUCUUCUCUCUGUGUCUUUUCACAUUAUCCUCCCUCUUUGCAUGUUUGUAUUUAAAUUUCCUUUUCUUAGAAGGACACCAGUCAUAUUGGAUUAGGGCUUACUCUAAUAACCUUAUUUUAACUUGAUUGACCCUGUAAAGACCCUCUCUUUCAAAGAAGAUCACAUUCUGAGUACUGAGGGUUAGGACUUCAACAUACGAAUUUUAUGGUGGAUGCAGUCCAAUCCCUAAGCACAUCAACUGUCUGAAAACUGACCAGAAUCUUGGUCCUCUGAGGCUCUUGUUCAUUUUUUUCUUAUCAAAUGACUGUGCCUUUUAAUAUUCUUGUUCCUGUUACUACAGAGAGCAUUCCCUCUUUCGCAAACCUAAGAGACAAGCUUGUGGUUAAAGCAUCAACUUUUCUCAGACACAUCAAACAAUUCCAUUUAGGGGAAUAUAAGGCCAAAGUAAAUUUAGAGAAGUUAUGAUCCUUAUUACUAUAACCUGAACAUACUCAUUUUGGGGAUAAUGAUGAACAAUGAAUUUUUUUAUUAUCACAUGGCUGUUAAUGUUGAAUCUUUAGAGUUAGACAUGAAAUUCUCUCAGACUUAUUUAAUGAACGCAGUUUAUAUUAUUAAAUUGUGAUGAUAAAUCAGUUUGCUGAGUUAUUCUCUUCUUUGACUUGACUUUCUCUACCCCUGAAAAAUAGCCUUCCAGGAAAGGAGCUUUCCUUUCUGGAUGUCCUAUGGAUGAAGCUUCGGCAGGACUAUUGUCAACCCAGGCAUUUAAUUCACCUGAAAUUAUGUUGUCAGCUCAGGGAUACUUGAAGCAUAUAAAGUUUAGGAGGCAAUGGAAUCAGUGCCAGAUAUUUAGGGAUAUGUUUGCAUACAGGUAGGGAGGCAAUUAUUAUGUUGUACCAAGUGGUCUUUUCGGGAAGGUGAAUCAAGACAAGAUAAAUAAGUUUUUAAUUCAUGUCAGGUGACUGAGGUCAGUGUAGCCUAUCACCCUCACAUCAACCAGAACUUCCUGGAUUAAAGGUUGGAACAGAAGGAAAAUAAUAGAGUAUUAAACUCUCCAGUAAUGACUUCAUUCUUCCCAUUCUCACAUGGCCUAAAAUGCUGAUUUUCAAGGAGGGGAACCUAAUGCUGAGAGAAAUAACAUGAUUAGUCCAAGAAAACAGUAUACUCCCGCAAUGUGCUUCUACCCCAUAUAGCAGCUGUAAUGCAGGACUCAGGCGCUGUGAGCUAAGUGGCAGUUCUAACUCUCUAGCAAUAUUUACUAGAAUAUACCUAAGUUUGGGCCUUCCCUACUAUACCAAGUCACAGACUAUGUCUCUUGGUACUUAGAGGUAGUAGGUUUUAGGAUAUACACCUGCACUCCUCACCAGCAGUGUCUCCGAAAGCCCAUCCCUUAGAUGAUCAGCCUUUCAUAUAUGUCAAGAAAAGAAACUUUGAUUAAGUGAUGAAACACAUUUGGAAAAUGCCACAUACUGCAUCCCUUUCUUACAUACUCAUCACACAUGUUAGAAUAUUGACAGCUUUGUAAUGUCUGGCAAUGAAAAAGCCAUUUAACUUUCUUUAACCAGGUGUUUCCAAAAGUUAUCUGAUCACAGAACCAUGUGUUCAUGUAAAACCCGUAAGUUGCAAGCAACACAUUUUAAGAAACCCUGUCUAAAUUUUGCAGAAGUCAGGGAAAGAUAUACAUUAACAAAGAAUUUAGAUCAGGUUUAGAGAUGACAGAGCAAAAGAUCUGUGGAGAGGUCCCUAGAGAACAGGUGAGUGAUAAUCCUUAUCAUCUGCCCCCAAACAUUUCUGGUGGCUAUUAACAGGAAGGGAAUCCUAAGCUGGGCUGGGCAGGCUUUUCACACAUUACAGUCUUUCCUCAUUGUGGGGGUGUGGAUGACUGUGUGAAUGUAUUUGUGUUUGACCUUGAUAGUCAGGUGCUUUAGGAGAGAAAAAGAGCGCUGGGCUAAUGAUCAGAAGGUCUGGUGUGUUUUUGGCCUUUAUCGUGAACUUGUGAUGUGACAUCUCAGCAGUCCCAGUGCUCCACUAGUUAGUGUGGAUGCUGUUGUGCCACCUCCAUUCAUCUGCACCACACAGGCCUUUAGUGUCCAAAGGCCUCUCUGUUCACUUGGGACCUCAGCAUAUGCUGUCUGAAGGUGAAAAGGAAAAGGAGGAUUUGGGGAUUUUUGUCAGGCGAUGACAUAAUGUCUACAGUGUUUUGAUCACCGCAGGAGGAGCAGAGGGUUUGGUGCAAAGGGCCCUGCUGUUCCUGAGGGAGGUGUGAAUGACUGACACCUGAUAAAACCACGCAGCACAGCCUGAUAGAGCCACUCAGAAUGUUUCUAGUUAGAUGCUGCUAUAAUGAAGACCCUUUGUUUUAAAACAAAAGAAACCACCUUGAACUUGGUUCAGGAAAAGAAUACACUUUUAGGGUAAGACACUUAAGCAUCAGAUAAAAUUUAAAGAAUUUAAACAACCACAUCUCAGGAAGGUUCAGAAGCGCAACACUGCAGGCUGCCUUUUUCUCUGUGUCUGUGUCUCAUCUGUAAUUCUUGGCAAAGAGAAUUGUAUAGCCCCAAUUACUGGUCAAAUGCCCACUCUAGUUCAUUUAGCUGUAGCAUAGCUAACAGCCGUGUCUCUCUCAUUUUUCCUGUUAGAAUCCCAAUUUGUUCAGGAGAGUGUGACAAUAGCUUGAUAUCAGGGAAGAUAGAUCCCACUCCAGUCCCAGAGGAUGAAUUGUGAUAAUCUAAACCGGUCAUAGUAAUCCCAUUUCUCUUUAUCAGUAAUUGGUUGAGGGUGGCAUUGUGACCUAGUUCUAAUGUAGGAGAUAUAAAUAGAAGUUAGUUGGAUAUGGUUCUGGGAAAGCUUUUGUCUUUCUUAUUAAAAGGAACAACAGUUUUACCGGGCAUGGCUUUUUCUCCUUCUCUGGGAUUCAGGUGUGAUGCCUGGUGAUUCAGCAGCCACCUUGUAACCAUGAUGUGACAAGUAUGAGGGGAAAGCUGUGUGCUAAGAAAAGAAAGCACAAAGGAGAACGAGCCAAGGUCCCUGUAUGGCUGAACUGCUGCACUGACACUGGAUGGCAUACCUCAUGAUUUGUUCUUAUUUGAGAAAAAUAAUAACCUAUUUGUUGACAUCACAGCGUACUUUAAUAGGUUGUUGUUAUUGUUGUCUUUACCUGCAACCAAAAACAUUCCUAAGUGAGAAAAUUAUAUAGUAAAAACAUGGGUGCCAGGAGCCAACUCCUAUGGCUCAGAGGAUGAUUCUCAGAUCUCUAAUGGGACAGAAGAAGAGAUGGCACCUACCAUGGUUAGCUAUUCAAAAGUAUCUACCAAAGCCACCCCAAAGUCUUGAAAUCUCACCACUGCUUUAGAGCAUAGAGAGAGAAACCCUGUUCUUUCUGCUGCACACCUGUCUUAGAUACAAUUAACUAAUUAAUUCUACUGAUUUUUACUGACUCACAUUAUCUGCUUGACGUUUUUCUAGGUGCUGAGGAUUGAUUGGUGGAGACCGAGAGGAUCUUGGCUCUGACUGAGCUCACAUUCUGAAAGAGAAAAUAGAAAAUAACCAUGAAACACAAAUGAAUGGGAUCACUUCAGAUAUUGAAAAUGUCUAUAAGUAAUAGAAAACAGUGUGUUAUGAUAGAGGAUUGGGGAGGCUGUGUCCAUGGAAGGCCUAGGAAAGUGAUAUUUCAAUUGAAACUUGAGUUGCAAAGGGCAGCCCGCUGUGCAAGGCUGAGGACCAAGCGUUUCAGGAGGGAAUGGUCAAGCCGGGAAUGAGCAUGGCCCGCUGAAGACCCAGAAUGAACUGCUAGUGGUGCCCACUGCACAGGGCCUGGGGAGGCCACCCAUGCUCAUCUCAUGGUAACGUGCCAGCAACUCAGCCCACUGGCAUCAUGAUGAAUCUCGGUGCUACUGCACAGGGCCUGGGGAGGCCACCCAUGCCCAUCUCAUGGUAACGUGCCAGCAACUCAGCCCACUGGCAUCAUGAUGAAUCUCGGUGCUACUGCACAGGGCCUGGGGAGGCCACCAUGCCCAUCUCAUGGGAACGUGCCAGCAACUCAGCCCACUGGCAUCAUGAUGAAUCUCGGUGCUGCUGCACAGGGCCUGGGGAGGCCCAUGCUCAUCUCACGGUAAUGUGCCAGCAACUCAGCCCACUGGCAUCAUGAUGAAUCUCGGUGCUGCUGACUGGGCUUCUUGUUGCAUAGGUGAACUGUCCCAUCAUCUGCUUGAGGCUGGCAGAGCUCAGGGGGUCAGACCACAGGGAGUGAUCUAUGUAGGAGAAUCUCUGACCAGAGUGACUGAUUCCCUCAUGUUCUUUCCUUUUGAGAAUUGAUUCGUUAUUCCAAGCUGCAGCUCCUAUGCUCUCCAGAGGACUAGCUUCCCUUGGAAUGGGGUCAGCCCUGCUCUGGAGGGACUGGGAGGGCAUUCAGCUACCACACAGUUGCUGCAGGACCACGCUCCACUUACCCCCUCAAGUUAUGACUGCCCCUGUUGACAUUGUCUAGUGCUUGAGAGUCCCCUCUGUAGAGACCUUGCAGAGAGUCAGGAAGCCUGCUAGGGCCCUGCGCUGGUCAUACCUGACAUCAGUUUCAAGUGAUACUUAUCAGUGAAGCAGUCAUAUGAGAUCACAAAGCUAGAAGCUCCUUCCAAGCUCACAAUGUCCUACAUUCCUCAUGGGUCUGGCCUAACCCAGAACAAAAGUGUCAGUAUGCUACCCCCUUCUAACAAGUUGCCUACGAAGUGGAAUAUCCACCCGGCUUGGUAGACAAUCCAGUUUUCUUUUUCUCUAACACUUGAACUUGCUGGCCAUUAGAAUCACUAUAAUUAUAUUAGAUGUUAGAGUUCCUGUGUGAGUGCUGGGAUGUGAGGAACGUGAUUGCUCAACUUAGAAGAGUAAAGUUGCCUGGAAGUGCCUGACCUGCCAUUUAAAAACCCUGGGUUUGGUUUUCCUACACCUGGAACACAAAACUACAAAAUACCAAAGUUGGAGGCAAGCUUGGUAAUUAAUAUCUGUCCUCUUACAGAUGAAAAAAAAAAAAAGGAGCAUGACCUGACCAAGGUUAAUAAUAAUACUACAAAGGAAGGCUCUUUGGGAUUCCCAUGUCCCUGUAAUAGGUGUUAGAAUUUGGUUGUAAUGUGCUCUUUCACUUACAGAACAAAGAAAAAAACCUUGCACGUCAACAAUGUGUGCCAUCAAAGUUCCCCAUGCCUCUGCAUGCCUCUGUGUGGUUUGAUUCUCACCAUCCAGUGUAGUGGGCAUUAUUUUUCUCAUUUUACACAUAAGGAAAACGAGGCCCAGAAAGGUUAAGUCCAUUCAGUUAGUAGGUAGCAAUCCUGAACUCAAGCUUCAAUCUUCUGCCUUUUAUUCAAUAUCAUUUCCAAGUCCUUCACUUUGAUUUUCUGGGGGAUGAGUGUGCAGCAGGAAAUUAGCUAUAACUUAGGGCAAGAUAUAUAGCUCUGAAGAGUCUCUGCCUUAUUCGGGAAGCAGAUAUUGUGGAUUGCUAGAAAAUCUAAAGAAAGGAUUCUGAUUUUUAGUGACAGUACCCUCACCUUCAUUGGCAUGUAAAUUCUUCCCUCUUGGAACCACUGUAGCUGGAGCAGGGGCCUCAUGGCUGCUAACAUAACGGUGCUGUCAUCUCAGCAGCUGCUUCUCCUUACCUAAAUACCACCUCCCAGGCAUAGUGUGGCUCUGAGAAGCUCAAGCUGUUAGAAUCCGGUGGCUACUCCAAUUCCUGAUUCUGUCACUUUAGAUGACCUGAGCUACAUUAUUUAAACUUCCUAUAUCUCAGUUUUUCCAUCUAUAAAAGGGGCUAGUUAUAGUACCUUCCUGAAAAGGUGAAGACUAAAUGACGUUAAAAAAAAAAGGAGAGUAACGUGCUCAAUAAAUAUUUGUUGUUGCUGCUGCAUUUGCUCUUGAGACAAGGGAUUCUGUCACAGAGCUGAGUUUUCACCAGAAGUACAAAGGAAAAUGUUCAUAGUUCAUGGACACAGUGGCCAUGCCAGGGUGAGAUGUAUCCAAAAGAUAGAAUCACAUACAGUUGACUUCUUAACCCUGGGGAAUGAUUGCUCUGGACCUUAUACUACAAGGGUUGUCUUCAUUUUCUGCCAGUAUCACCCCUCUGGCCCCACCCUGUCAACAAAGCAGAGGGCUUUAACUCACCCACUUGAAAAGCUAAAGCUGACCUGGAAGUUAUGAUUAUGUAUUUAUUUAGUCUGAAAGAAGGAACAGAAAUAAGAGCCUUUUAUAUAACUCAAAGAGUGUAAAGGAGCCAGUGAUAAAAACCAUUGCCCUGAACUUUUCCAAAGCACCAUAAAUCUCUCUGUUAUGAUUCUCCAGCUGUUGCCAAGGUAUCAUUUGUCUUGUUUUUGUCCUCAGAUAGACUAAAACAAACGUUAACGAACUUCCUCCUGUUGGUUUGUGUAUCUGUGAUCAAAGGCUAUAAAAAUGCUACUAUUUCCAGUUACUCCCAUCAUCUGAAACACACCUAAUGCUUGUUGUGUGGUUUCUCAGCAAUAUUCUCAUUUUAAUUUGAUAGCUUUUUGUGUUUGUCUGUUUCCCUUUCAAAGCUGUUUUUUCCUCCCUUCCCUCCCUUCUGUGUUUCUUUCUGUCUCUGCUGAUAUUUUUGGCAUGUUUAGAUCAUCUUUCCACUGACCUUUCAGUGGCUUAGCAUUUUGUUGCAAUGCAAAGUGAAGUUGGGAAACAGAGCCAAGUGACAAACUGUGAAGUAACAGCUCAGCCUUCACAAAGCAAAUGUGCCUUGUGCUCUUUCUUGCCAGAGCAGAUGUAGCCUCAGUGGACUGUGGGGAACAUCAUCUCUCAGGUAAAAAUAAAUUACCAAGAUUAGGACCAAAUGAUGCAAAUCCUUUCAUUUGCAAACAGAUCAUGAACUGGGAGUCAUGCGGAAGGAAGACCAGACUGAGAAUCAGUUAGGAUCCCACCCUCAGCUUAGUCCAGAAUACUCUGCCAAUCAGCUAUUUGGCCGCAGAUGGAGUCUCUCUCUGUUGCUCAAGCUGGAAUGCAGUGGAGCAAUCAGCUCACUGUAACCUCCGCCUCCCGGGUUCAAGCCGUUCUCCUGCCUCAGCCUCCUGAGUAACUGGGAUUACAG